CAGACUGUUGUCUGUGAAGCCUAGUAACCUCACAGCACCAGACUGUUGUCUGUGAAGCCUAGUAACCUCCCAGCACCAGACUGUUGUCUGUGAAGCCUAGUAACCUCACAGCACCAGACUGUUGUCUGUGAAGCCUAGUAACCUCCCAGCACCAGACUACCCACAGACAGAACUGGGCAUCAUAGCAUCAGAAGAGGAAGACCUGACAUUUUCAGCCACUAACACAGAAGGACCAUUGUUACACUUUCCUUUUUUUAAUCCAUGUUAGUUGUUGUGGCAGAGAAUCACUCAGGACCACAAAGGUUCUGAGCUGCCCCUCCCUGUGCCUGAGUAGAAAGGGCCCCCUGUCUGUCUCAGCUGUAAUACCAGUCCAGGGGAGGGUACUAGGUAGAAAGGGCCCCCUGUCUGUCUCGGCUGUAAUACCAGUCCAGGGGAGGGUACUAGGUAGAAAGGGCCCCCUGUCUGUCUCAGCUGUAAUACCAGUCCAGGGGAGGGUACUAGGUAGAAAGGGCCCCCUGUCUGUCUCGGCUGUAAUACCAGUCCAGGGGAGGGUACUAGGUAGAAAGGGCCCCCUGUCUGUCUCGGCUGUAAUACCAGUCCAGGGGAGGGUACUAGGUAGAAAGGGUCCCCUGUCUGUCUCAGCUGUAAUGCCAGUCCAGGGGAGGGUACUAGGUAGAAAGGGCCCCCUGUCUGUCUCAGCUGUAAUACCAGUCCAGGGGAGGGUACUAGGUAGAAAGGGCCCCCUGUCUGUCUCGGCUGUAAUACCAGUCCAGGGGAGGGCACUAGGUAGAAAGGGCCCCCUGUCUGUCUCAGCUGUAAUGCCAGUCCAGGGGAGGGUACUAGGUAGAAAGGGCCCCCUGUCUGUCUCAGCUGUAAUACCAGUCCAGGGGAGGGUACUAGGUAGUUACAGACAGACAAGUUGUAAGUUGUGUAGUCCAGGACAGGUCAGUUACAGACAGACAGGUUGUGUAGUCUAGGACAGGUCAGUUCCACUAGGAGAUAGAUGGUUAUAGACAGACAGGUUGUGUAGUCUAGGACAGGUCAGUUCCACUAGGAGAUAGAUGGUUACAGACAGACAGACAGGUUGUGUAGUCUAGGACAGGUCAGUUACACUAGGAGAUAGAUGGUUACAGACAGACAGGCUGUGUAGUCUAGGACAGGUCAGUUCCACUAGGAGAUAGGUGGUUACAGACAGACAGGUUGUGUAGUCUAGGACAGGUCAUUUACAGACAGACAGGUCAGUUCCACUAGGAGAUAGAUGGUUACAGACAGACAGGUCAGUUCCACUAGGAGAUAGAUGGUUACAGACAGACAGGUCAGUUCCACUAGGAGAUAGAUGGUGACAGACAGACAGGUCAGUUCCACUAGGAGAUAGAUGGUGACAGACAGGUUGUGUAGUCUAGGACAGGUCAGUUACAGACAGACAGGUUGUGUAGUCUAGGACAGGUCAGUUCCACUAGGAGAUAGAUGGUGACAGACAGACAGGUUGUGUAGUCUAGGACAGGUCAGUUCCACUAGGAGAUAGAUGGUUACAGACAGACAGGUCAGUUCCACUAGGAGAUAGAUGGUUACAGACAGACAGGUCAGUUCCACUAGGAGAUAGAUGGUUACAGACAGACAGUGUAGUAGCAAUAUAAAGAUGAUUAUAAAAUGUGAGAUUAAAGACCUGACGUUCAUACUAAUAUUCAGCCAGUUAACCACAGUCCUGGAGUCAGAUGUUAACUCCUGUCUCUAAAUAGUGGAGGUUAGGGCCCCGUUAACCACAGUCCUGGAGUCAGAUGUUAACUCCUGUCUCUAAAUAGUGGAGGUUAGGGCCCCGUUAACCACAGUCCUGGAGUCAGAGGUUAACUAAAGGACUCCAGCCGGGGGG
ensembl:lncRNA